rnacentral:tRNA from 1 species
GUUCUCAUAGUUGAAUUACAACGGUGGUUUUUCAAGUCAUUAGUCCUGGUUAGAUUCCGGGUGGGAAUU